CAACAGUCCAGUGGAGAAAAUGUGGUGGGGAGGGCAAUCAGCACCCCAGAGCAGACCAUUAAUGACUUGACUUUUGGUGCUGGGGUCAGUUACAUCAGCUUGACGCACACGCCCGGUUCAGCUCCAGGCAAGUCAUCUCUGUGAUCCUUAUUUGAGGGGAGGGAAAAAAAAACCAAAAACAACCCCAAAUGACCAAAUCUGUUGCAUUUUGUAAAAUAUGAAAAUACAUGUAUUUGCAGUGAAGAAAGAUGCUGAGGAUAGACCAAGGGAUAUCAUCUGUUUGACGUCACCAGAGAAACCCCCAUCCCGGCCCCGAGAGUGGAAGGUGGAGUCCCCAGCCAGGAGGAGCAGCCAGGCAGUUCCCCUGCGACGAUCACAGCGCAAAACGCCCCUGAAAACAUCCAACUGAGCCUGCCCUGGGCUGCACAGAGCCACCUCACUGCCUGGACUGUG
rnacentral:lncRNA from 1 species